AGCAACCCGUUCUCAUCAGUCUGCGUAUAAAUAACACGACUUUACACUUUCUAUUUGCGUGUAAUGCAUACGCCAAAUGCCAUUUUUGCGUGCAUAUGAUACGCCAAUCCUUCCCAUUAAUUUCGGUGGAGAGCAGAUGCGUCCAAAUAACACGCAUCAUCUUCAGCGGCAGUGACGUCACUAGCGAGGCUCGUUCAGUUCACCUGAUGCGCGUACACCUUCAAACAGGUAAGCAAGGUUACGUCGGAUUACAUACUCCACAACAACCUGUAAUCCAGCAGAUCUUUAAAGAAGCCAUCUCUUGUAAAAUCUCUCUCUCUCUCUCUCUCUCUCUCUCUCUCUCUCUCUCUCUCUCUCUCUCGCUCUGCUAGAAUUAACAGGGAACUUCAACUCCACGCUCCCAAUGCUGAUAUUGAAGAAGCUGUCAAGGGGGCUGAACAAGUCCUUCAAAGGAUCAACCCUUCACAGGAAGGCCUGUCAUGAGAUUUGAAUUUGACCAUCUUGUGCAUUUAUGAAGAAGACCAAAAGCUGCAAAGGCAAACACUUCCAAUGGCAGAAACUGAGAGUUUGCAUGAUGGCAUUUUCUCAGACGCUGAAUCUGAUGUGUACAGAUGAACUCAGGAGCCUACUAGAGUUGCCAAGGAACUUGUGCUUGAACUGAAGACCAGAAACGCAAAGAAAAUCAGUCAAACCAGUCCUAAAGAAAUGAGGAAUGAACAUGGACUUCUUGUGCCCCAAAAGAAAAGACAGAAAGCUCCUAAAAUGAGCAAAUAAGCUGUGCAUCAUCUCUGUGAUUUGGGAAGGAAAUGACUGAAUAUGAUGAAGCCAAUUGAUGAAGAUAUCAAUUGAAUGGCCACCGAGUGCAGCACUGCUACCUGAACCCAUCAGUUAUCUGCUGUGAAGACUGCAUUCACAAACCGCUCUACUGCGACAGCUCAGAUGUUACGGCCUGUAAAAGUAAACAUCACAGCUAAACAACGAGAGCUAGUUGUGGUGGGAUUCUUUUGGCCAAUAUCCCCAACAAGAAUCAAUGACAUCUAGACCAGGUGGAGUGUGAGGAGGACCGUCAGAGACUCCAGCCAGCCGAGCCAUGGAUUGCUCUCACUGUUACCAUCAGGCAGACGUUAUCACAGAACCUACACCAGCAGACAGUGAGACAAGUUCCUUUCACAGGCAAUCAGACUGAACUGAACUCAUACCAGUAAAACCAUACACACCCCACCAACCUCAUAUGCCCUGCACUCUUAUCAGUUAUGCUGACUGGACUCAAUAUUAUUAUGCACCCUGACAUUCUGUUUGCACUAAUUCAUACCGUGCUUUACUGCAGAGAUGUAUGUGUACUGUGAUUAUUAUUGUUUUCAAUUCAUGCUCUUUGUAUAGCAUAAUUUUUAACAUAUAUUGUUCUCUACCUGAAUUGAGUCCCUUAUAUAUGUGUGUUGCAUAUAUAUAUAUUCAGAAUUUGUAUUUCAUAUAUAUUCAUGAAUUAAUUAAUUUGUCAUCCAUACUGUCACGCUGCAGUCUGCACC